UUCCACUCAGUGCACUCAGUUGUUUGUGGAA
rnacentral:piRNA from 1 species